rnacentral:rRNA from 1 species
UACGUAGGGGGCAAGCGUUGUCCGGAAUCAUUGGGCGUAAAGAGCGUGUAGGCGGCCAGAAAAGUCCGCUGUGAAAACUCGAGGCUCAACUUCGAGCUGUCGGUGGAAACUUUCUGGCUAGAGUCCGGAAGAGGAGAAUGGAAUUCCUGGUGUAGCGGUGAAAUGCGCAGAUAUCGGGAAGAACACCCGUGGCGAAGGCGGCUCUCUGGAACGCAACUGACGCUGAGACGCGAAAGCGUGGGGAGCAAACAGG